rnacentral:lncRNA from 1 species
CUAGACAUACAUCAAAAACUCAAGAUACCUCGUGAGAUCACAUUAUAUGUCUAGAUACUACAAGAAAAUAAAACUCUAUGCUAGAAUUCAAAGCACCAUUCAAGUUCUUAUUUCUAGCAAGCACCAAACAAACAAGAGUAGUAUUUUUAAGUUUGCAAUGCAACACUUCAUUAUGUUAGUGCACAUUCAAAUGCAACAAAUGGUUCAUGAGCUUGCUCCCCCUUUUUGUGUGCUC